ACCCUCUUAAAAUAUCAGAGGUUUUUUUAAGAACCCCCAUGAAAUUUGGAUCUUCUUUUAUUUCUUUCAUUUUUCUCCUCUUUUAUCAUUUUUAGUUAAAUAACUUUGCCUUUCCUGUUACCUCUUUUUCAUCGUGUUAACCUAUGAGGAAGAAAAUUCAGGCUUCUCGUGCGUCACCACCGUGCCUCCACCAUGCCUUCGCGUGUGUGCCUCCAUUGUGCCUCCAUUAUGCCUUCACCAUUCUUGUUUGAAGUUCAAGAACAAUUGGUUUGAUCUGUUUUGAGCAAGGUUGUAGAGGAGUUUGACAAGUGAACAACAAGCCAAGGUGAAAAGUGGGUCUAUUGUGGCAGAUAAAAGGUAACAUAACUAGUGUUUAACAUAUUCAAGGAUCUUCAUGAAACUUAAAUAGCUAUAAUUCUUAUAACCACACAUUUUUCGAUUAGAAGAAGAAGAAGAUUCAUGUGGUAACGAAAAAGAAGAUGGAAUUCAUAAAAGUCAAGUUAAUGUUAUGGUAUAAAAAGAAGAGGAUCACAUUCAUAAAAAUCUAGCUGCUAAUGAUGAAUCGCAAAGGCAACUUCUAAAGCAGAAAAUGCUCUUUGAUGAAAAGCAAAGAGAAAUUGAGGAAAAGAUGAGUGCCUUCUAUUAAUCAACAUGCAUAGAAAACAUGUGGUGCCCUCAUGGGAUUCCCUUCGAAUUAGGUCCAGUGAAUUUCACCCAGACACGAGAAGAGUAAGGCGUGAAGGAUCCUACAUUUAUGAGGAGUUUAUGCCAACUGGAGAGACAAAUGUUAAGAGUUGUUACUUAAAAUGAAGGAAGAUGAACUAAACUCAAUUAUUGUUGAAAUGAGACAGCAUUAGGAGUUUCAAACCCCAGACAGGACAGUAGUGGGGGUUUUAAACCCCAUGCAGUAGUGGGGGUUUCAAAAACCCCAGAUAGUAAUAGGGGUUCGAAAAUCCUGGGGAGUUAUGAGGGUUCCAGAAACCUUAGGCAGUAGUGGGGGUUCCAGAAACCCCAGGCAGUAGUGGGGGUUUUGAAAACCCCCGAUAAGUUGUGCUUUUCCAGGGGUUGAUAAAAACCCCUGCUAAUCUGUUAGCCACGCUGGUUCUUCCGGAGAAAUUCCAAACCCCUGGUAAAACCAUUAGUGGAGGUUAAAACCCCCAGAAAUGCCAAAUAUAACCCCCACUAAAAUUAAUUUUUUUUGUAGUGUAAGA